CCGGGAGCCCAGGAGCCAGCGGUGUCCGAGGCGCAAGGGCUUCUCCAGGCCCUCGCCUCCGACCCUGGCCCCGUUUUACAGGAUGGAAGUUGUUCGCUGCCAAAGAGCCAAAACCAACCAACCACCUAACCAACCAAACCAAACCAAACCAAACCAGAACAAAAAGAAAGAAAUGCUGGCAUCUAGAGGAGAGAAUGAAUGCUUCUCACUGUGGAGAGCAGGGAAGACUUCUGGAAGAGGUGGCCCUGAAGGGUGGAUCAGAUUUGGACCAAGGGAGAUGGAAGAGAGAAUUUCAGUGGAAGGAAUGGCUUGUACAAGGACAUGAAGGUGGGAGAGGUCGGGGCCUGUUUGGAAGCAGCAGGUGGUCCAGUUUGUUUUGCAUUUUGAAGAUUAUAAGAGAAAGGGACAGGCAAUGGUGAGCCACUGAAGGUUUCUGAACAGAGAAGCACUUAUAUUGGGAGCUGUCAGAGCUGUGCUUCCAGGAGAUGAAUCUGGCAAUAACAUGGACUGAAGCCCCAGGUCCAUUUAUCAGUGAUGCUUUGGAUGGGAUUCCUGCCCUGGUGUGAAGAGUAGACCAGAUGAAUUCCACAUUCCCUCCUGGCUCUGCGACUCGAUGACUACAGAGAUCCCUGCAGAGCCUUCCUAUUGCCAUGGCUGCCCUUGCUCUUGAAGACGACAGAUCGACGAAUGCAUUUGCCCCCCAGGUCCGAUGAUCUACUACGUCACAGUGGUACCUCGAUGGCUAACAGGCAGCCCACGUCUCCCUUAUGGGCCAUGGUUUCCCAGGGAUCUCCUUGGCUUUGGGGGCUGGAGCUCUGCGCGAUGAUUGAAAGGCCCCAGUUCCCUCUUGAACCACCCAAUUCUCCAGAAAGAAGGGAUUCCAGAAGGUGAAUCCGUCACCACCCUGCCUCUGGUUGGAAGACCCUCAACACAGUCCUGUGCACCACCACAUCCAAAAUCCUAAGGAAUUCUGGAUGUGAUGGGGGGGAGCAUUCCUGAUUUGGGGUGAGAAUACUUAAAACUCAACAGUGGUGCUAAGAAGAGGGUUUCAGUGAGGAUCCCCAUGGACCAGGGAGCUUAGACCAAGAGAUGGGAAGAGGAUGGGUCAAACUCCAGCCUGGAGUGUAUCUGCUGCAGAAAGAGGUGAAAGGGAAAAAGACUUCAAGCAAGAAAGAAGACACUCAGCCUCCCACCCACACUCUCUCCCCUUUGAUGGUGCCUUUAGCUUCUGGGUGGAGGGGGGCGUUGUGGUCAGAAUAAUCAUCAGGGUCAUCGAGAGGAAACUGACUUUUAUUUUUGAGAGCCAUCUAGAAGCCAAGAAAUGGAAUCUGUUGUAAGGGAGGAACAGAGUUCCUGGGUCAGCCCAAGCCCUGCAGAGAAAGUGCAUGGUGGACGCUCGCCCUGGGAGUGGACGGGAGGCUGUGUGUCCUUCUCUAGGGCGCUGACCUUCUCAGGAUCUGAUGAGAGCUGUGUCCCUCUGCCUUGCAAGCAGCACACAUGCACAAGCACGGUGUUUACAUGGCAACCCACGGGAGCGCAGCUGGGGCCCUGAGUUAGCAAUCCCUGCUUUCAGGAAGGAGGCAGCCCUGAGCCCAGACUCCCUGUGAUCUAGGCUAAUGGGUGUUAGUGACGUGGAGAAUCCAGAAGGAGGCAAAUGUAAGCGAGAGCUGUGUAAUGCGAAGUGAAAAAAAGAACAAGCACGAUGCGUACACUUCAUUGCGAUUCUGUACAGACUCCGCACCUAGAAAGAGAAAAAUGCAAAGGCAACAUGGAGAAAUGAAAACGUUUUGUGAGUGACGUUUUUUCAUUUUAAAAAUUUGCUUUAAUGUCAUUAUGAAGUAAUUUUAAUAAUAGACUUAGUUUUUUUUCUAUAUUAUGUAAAGUGCUUUCCCUCCCGAAAUGAGCCUCUCUCUGAAUUGUAUUUGGUUUAGGUUAAUCUCUAUGCCCUGCGCUCCUUGAGCACAUGCUUCUGAGGAGAGGUGCUCCAGGACAGUGCCAAGUGGCCUGCAGAGGCCAUCCAAAGGGCGGGUCACUGAAUUUGGGGGACCCUCAGGAGGCAGUUGGGCAGGGAGCAGGCCUGUGAUUUGGAGUCAGGAGUCCUAGGUUCGCAUCUUGGAGAAGAAGGGUGGCCAGCUGUCCCGUCUUGCCUGGGAUGAGGGGGUUCCCAGGACGUGGAACUUUCAGUGCUAGAACUAGAAAAGUUCUGGGCAUACCAGAGUGAGCUGGUCCCCUAAGAGUGAGACACUAAACUUUCUGUGCCUCAGUUUCCUCAUUUGUAAAAGGAUGCUGAUGACUUCCAGGAUCUUUGUAAAAGUACUUUGUGAACUCUACCAUCUUCAACCCUGUUGGCGAUGAUGAUGAUUUGUGAGGUAGGAUGGGGGGAGGCAGUAGGGGAAGGGGUGGUUCUCCCCAGCCUUGAGAGCUGAGAGCCCAAGAGCCUGUUCAAAUGGAUGCUGUGAUGUAUAUACAUGGAGAGCUUGAGGCAACCACUCUCUCUCAACAGACUUUUAACAAUAAUUCAUUCAAGAAAUAUUUAUGCACCGCCUAUGACCAGGUGCCAGGCUAGGCACUGGCAUAAAGCCGUGUACUGCUGAGACAGGCUCCCCUUGUUGCUGGGGCCAAAGUCUAAUGGGGAAGAAAGGCUCUAUUAGGAAGUGGGAUGAUAAGGAAAUCUAGGGGCCUAUGAGAGUGUCAGGUGAGUGGAGACCCCUCCCUCGUCUAGAGGUUCAGGAAGGUCAGGGGAGCUUUCCUGCAGGGGUGAGCUGAGCCCUGAGGGGUGAGGACUGGCUAGCCAGGGAUGUCACAUGGAGAAAGCAGGCAGAAGGAGAGGCCGUGAGAAGGCCCAGGGGGCUGGGUGUGUCAAAGGACUGAGAGUUCAGUCUGGUGGGUACAGUACAAGGUGGGGGGUGGGGGGAGCGCUGGCUGGGAGGUGUGUGCCCGGGUUGUGUGGGUCUUGUGCACUGGAGUCUGGACUUCAUCCUGAAGGCAAUGAGAAGCUGUGGUGGGUGUGGCGGAGAGAACAAGGUUGUUUCACACCGGGCCACUUGGCAGCCCCAGCCCCUGUUAGGCUAAGGUGGUGUUCCUGGGCCAGGCACCGGGUUUGGCCUGUUAUGGCCACGUCCUCCGGACCGGACAGAGCCAGCUGUCUUUUCUGUUCCCGAGGCCCCCGAGCCUGGCCCAUCUGCUGAGCACUCCUGCAGUUUCAAGCGUGGUGUAGUCAAUCUGUACCUUCUCCUGGCAGGGGCCCUGCCGCCUGGCACAGACUGGGGCUCCGGAGAGAAGAGUGGCGCCCCCCUCCCAGGCACGCCGCUGUCACCACAAUGGGUGUGUGGGCUUGAUGGCUGCGUGGCAGUGAGCUCAGGGCAUGCUGGGCUCUCCCACAGCCCCGGCAGCAGAUAAAUAACAAACAGUUACACCAUCGACCCAGGUACAGGGAGGCGGGUGUGCUCCCAUAUGCAUGUACACGCACACACGUGCUUGUGUGCACACACUCAGAUACACUGACAUUUAUGUCCACACUUCCACUGAAACUCAGGCAAGCCCACAAAGAGAUUCCCUGCUAUGUGCAUGAGAUGAACAGGCACACAUUACAUUACAUUCACCCAACACUGACACACAGAUGUUACAAAUGCUCUUUAUCCAGCCUUACCUAGAUGCCUGUACACUUACAUUGGCCCAACCUCCAUAUCAAGUGUUUAGCAAAAUGCCUGGCACAUAGGAUUAUUAUAUUGCUAUAUUUUAGUAUGAUAUUGUACUAAGACACUUGAGUGUGUGCCCAUGUACCAAUAUACUCAUAGCCACAUACAUCUCCCGUAUGCACAUUUAAAGGCAGGUGCCCACAUAAGAACUCCAUCCUUCCACGAAUCUGGUACAUAAACCCGCGAGCCCACAAACAAGCUCACUCUCAGAGACGCACAGAUUGCCAUAAUUGGCUUUCCCAGUUGCACCUACACACAAUCACAACAGCAAUAAUAAUAAUAGCAAAACCAGGGUGGGUGAUUGCUUUAUAUUUUUCAAAGGCCUUUCAGGCCUGUAAUCUCAUUUGAUCCCCACAGCAGCCCAGUGAGGCAGGUGGGUGGAGCAGGCAUUUUUACCCCAGGUUUACGGUUGAAGAAGCAGAAGCCAGAGAGGUUAAAUACACCAUCUGGGAGGCAGCCUGGAACCCAGAUCUGGCUUGUCUGUCCUCGUGAUCUUCUCGUGGCCUGUUUGACAACUUCUAGCUGUCACUAUGGAAAGCAGCAACUGGGGUGGAGGCCUGGUGCUAGAUUCUGGAUUCCUGGUCAAAACAUUUCCCGGAGUCAACCCAGGCUGAGAAGUGGGAAUUGGAGGCUGAUAAAGGGAAACUGCCAUCAUUAGAAAUCCCAUAAAGUCUCAUUUACAACUCCUGUCAGAUGAAAGGAGCAAUUGACUGUGUUGGAGGGAAAAGCAAAUAGUGAUUUCCUUUAGGACUGCCCAGCCUCAGACAGCUGAUUCUGGAGGGCCCAGAGGUCCUGGGAGAACGGGGGUCCUGUCCCAUCUGAGCUCUCCCCAUCUCCAUGCACUUCCUCUCCCCUCUGUCGGGGCUGGCCUCUGGGUCCUUCAGCUCUGGUACUAGGGGAAGGGGAGAGAAAAGGACAAAGAAGAUGCCUCCCCCUCCCUCAGACCCCUCUCUCCUCCCGCACUGCAUCCGAAGCCUCCCUAUCCUGCUCUGUCCUGAGCCUUCAGGACCCAUUGACCAUCCUGCCCCCAACCUGGCUGGGGCAGAAAUAGCGAACAGGCUGCCAGCCCAGCACCUGGCCUGUCAAGUGCAGGGAAGCCUCAGAUCCAGCAACUUUGAAAGUGAUGAGACAGCUUUUUUCAAAGGCCCGUGCCCCACGGGGGAGGUGGCCUCUUGGUGAAUGAACAGGCAGAGUGAUCAUCCCUUCUUUUGCUUCUGAUGGUGCUGUUGCUUCACUUUGAUUUCGUCAUCGCUUGUGUGCCUUAGUUUCUGCAUCUACAAAAUGGGCAUCGUAAGAACAACCGGACAGCGCUGCCGUGAGGGUGAGAUGAGAAGAGGUGUGUGAACCCCCAGCACUGUGCCCCUCACACUGUUGGUCGGGCUCCUGAGGAAGGAGGGCCUCCCCUGCUGGGGCUGGAGGGGUGGUGUGGCAAGAGGCGCUCCCCAGCCUCCUGGGUGUGCCGGCUUUGGCUGGGAGAGAAGGAGGGACAGGGAGGGGACGUCUGUUUGACACCCUUGUCAGCAUCCGUUACCUGGUGUGUAUUUUCCCAGGAGCUGAUUACAUUACAGCAUGUGUUGAUAAACAUUUGGAGUCGGAAGGAGUGAAAACUGAGCGGAAUGUUAAAUGAGUUGUGGUUUGGUCAGGAUGCUGAGAAAGGGCUGGCUAUGCCAAUAGGAGGUGGUGACAAGGGCCCCAACCUGGUGGCUUCCUAGCCUGCCAGGCUCAUUUUGCUUUCUUGCUCUCCCCUCCCCUAUGUUCCCUGUGUUGGCCCCCAGCAGGGCAUCCAGACAUGGCCCCCGAGGCAGGCAGCGUGUUAUAGCAGAAGAGGGGCAGUGUUAGGACUCAGGCAGUUAUGGGUUCCAUUCCCAGCUCUGCCACGGACUGGCUUUUGGCAACUUGGGCCAGUACCUCAACCUCCCUGAGCCUCGGUCUCCUCUUCUGUAAAGUGGGCUUAACAUCCACUCCACAGAGUGAAGUGAGGGUUAAAUGAGAAGACAUCAACCAGGCCGGUACAGGGAACUAAGCACUAAGUAAACAUUGGUUCUUUUCCCAGUUUACCCAGAGGAAAAGUGUCCGCCGUAGCCCUGAUUGCACUUUGGAUGUUAGGCAACUGUUUCUUACAUCUACUAAGAGGAAGUGGGCUCAUGUUCUUUAUAAUGCAAACUUCCUCACUUCCAGUCCUGGUUGGGACUGGAGCAAGCAACCCAGGGUGCGUGUGGGAUCUUCCUCUCUCAAUCUUUAUACACCUGUUCACACAUGACAGUACCAGUCAGUUAAUUAUUUGCGUAGUUAUCUGCUUGGUGUCUUUCUCCCUCACUCAUCCACACAUUUUCUGAGGACAGGGACUAUGUUAUCUGGUCAUAAUCGAACGCUCAGGGCCUAGCCCAGUGCCUGGCACUGGAAGGGAUGGACGACUUUCACACAUCUGAUUGGUCCAGAGCAGAAUGGUCAAGAUAACCCCUAACAGAGCUCUGCGGCAUCUUAUCUCAUGGCUGUUUCUAAACUCAGAGCACUGGCUGAACUUCCCAGUUGGCCUUUGGCAUACAUUACCUCCAAUUAACUUUUCCUGGCUCUCUUGUCUCUCUGAAGUUGUGGGCUUCUGGAGGACUGGGUAUUUAGACCUUCAAGAGAAGGACAUGCACCACUGACAGAUGAAUGGAUAAAGAAGACGUGGGAUGUGUAUAUAUACACAGUAAGUCCCCUACAUAUGAACCUCCAAGUUGCAAACUUUCAGAGAUGUGAACGUGCAUUCCAUCAACGUCGGCGUGAGUGAAAUUGCAGCUCGCCCUCCAUCUCCUAUUGCUGACAGUCCUUCAGCUGUACCAUCUCCCACCUCCUCUCCCUCCUCCAGUCAGUAACUCUUCUUGCCUGUUCACCCGAUGCCAGCCCCCUGUAUGCCAGCUGUCGUACUGUACUACUGCACUUUUCAAGAUGGGAAAACUAAGGUACAGAGGGGUUGAGUUACCUGCCCAGCAUCACACAGCCAUCAACUGGUGAAGCUGGGAUUCAAGCCAGGUGGUUUGGCUCCAGAGUCCAUGUUUCCAGCAGCAAUGUUAUACUGCUUCUCUAAAGGAAUGAGUGAAUGAAGCACAUCAGGAAGGAUGAUUUGGUUCUUGAAGGUCAAGGUGGAUUCUAAAGCUGCUCCUCAGAAAAGCUCAGGGUUUCCUGUGUGUUUACCUCGUGCCAGGCACUGUACUAGGUGCUGGGGUUGGACGAAGAGCUCUUGGGCCAGACACAUACCAAGCACAGUAAGAUGCGCUAGAGUGAUGCCAAGCAGUGAACCAGUCUGCUCCUGAAACAGGCCAGUCUCCCUGCCUCCCAAGGCCUUUGCACAUGCUGUUCCAUCUGCUGGCAGUGAUCUUCCCCAGACCUCUGCUAGGCUGCUGCUUCUCAUCACUGUAUCUCAGCUUAAUGUCACCUCUUCAGAGAGGGCUUCCCUGAUUGCUAAUCUAAAGUAGCCACAAGACCGGCCUUCCCUGGUGAUGCAGUGGUUAAGAAUCCACCUGCCAAUGCAGCGGACAUGGGUUCAUUCCCUGGGCUGGGAGGAUUCCACAUGCCACAGAGCAGCUAAACCCAUGUGCCAUACCUACUGAGCCUGCGUGCUGCAACUACUGAAGCCCACGUGCCUAGAACCCCUGCUCUGCAACAAGAGAAGCCACUGUAAUGAGAAGCCCGCGAACCGCAACAAAGAGUAGCCCCUGACCACCACAACUAGAGAAAGCCCACGUGCAGCAAUGAAGACCCAAUGCAGCCAGUAAAUAAACAAAUAAAUAAAUAAAUAAAUAAAUUUAUUUUAAAAAAAGGUAGCCACAAGACAUUCUAUCCUAUCCUGAUCUUUUAAAAAACAGCUUUAUUGAGAUAUAAUUGACGUAAAAGAAGUUGCACAUAUUUAAAAUGUUCAGUGGAUUAAUUUUGGCGUAUGUAUACACCUGUGAAACCAUCACCACUGUCAAGACAGCCAACGUAACCAUCACCCCCAAAGUUUCUUUAUGUACCUUUGUAAUCCCUCCCUCCUGCCCCUCCCAGCCUUCUCUCCCCAAUCCCCUGACAACCACUGAUCUGCCUUCUGUCACUAUAGAUUAGUUUUCAUUUUCAAGAAUUUCAUAUAGGUGGAAUCAUACAGGAUGUACUCUUUUGGGGGGAGAGUCUGGCUUCUUUCAGAAAGCAUAAUUAUUUACAGAACUAUCCAUGUUGCAUGAAUCGGCAGUUUAUCCCUUUGUAUUGCUGAGUAGCAUUCCAUUGUACAGACAAACCGCGGUUAGCUUAUCUAUUCACCUGUUGAUGGACACUUGGGUUGUUUCCAGGGGUUGGCUGUUGUACAUUAAGCUGCAUCAACAUUUAUGUACAAGUUGUUUCUCUUUUGUAAUACCCAAGAGCAAAAGAGCUGGAUCAUAUUUAACUUUUUAAGAAAGUAUCCAAACUGUUUUCCAAAAUGGUUGUACCAUCUCACAUUCCCGCCAGCAGUGAAUGAGAGUUCAGUCCUUCUACAUCCUCGACAAAAAUUGGUGUGGUCAGUCUCUUUAUUUGUAGCUACUCUAAUAGCUCUGUAGUAGUUUCCCAGUGUGUGUGUGUAUGUAUGUGUGUGUUUAAGGUUUAUUUAUAUUAUUUUUAUUUAUUUUUGGCUGCAGUGGAUCUUCAUUGCUGUGGGCAGGCUUUCUCUAGUUGUGGUGAGUGGGGGAUACUCUUUGUUGCAGUGCGCAUGUUUCUCAGUGCAGUGCCUUCUCUUGUUGCAGGGCACUGGCUCUAGGCGUGCAGGCUUCAGUAGUUGCAGCAUGUGGGCUCAGUAGUUGUGGCACACGGGCUUAGUUGCUCCGAGGCCUGUGGGAUCUUCCCGGACCAGGGAUUGAACCCGUGUCCCCUGUGGUGGCAGCUGGAUUCUUAAUCACUGCACCACCAGGGAAGUCCCUCCCAUUGUUGUUUUAAUUUUCAUUUCCCUAAUGAUUACUAAUAUUAAGGAUCUUUUCAUUUGCUUCUUUGCCAUUUGUAGAUCUUCUCUGGUGAACUGUCUGUUUAAAUAUUUUGCAUCCCCUUUUCAAAAUUGGGUUGUUUGUUUUCUUAUUAUUGAGUAGUGGAAUGUACUUUUCAUAUUCUAGAUACAAGUGCUUUACCAGAUGUGUGAUUUGCAAAUAUUUUCUCCCAGUCUCUGGUUUGUCUUUUCAUUCUCUUAGUGUCUUCCAAAGAACAGAAGUUAUUAAUUUCGCAGUCAGAUUUUUCAAUAUCCUUUUUUAUAGAUCAUGCAUUUUGGUAUUAUAUCUAAGCUGUCUUUGCCUAUAACAUUGAGCUGUAGAAGGACUGAGUCUCUCAUUUUACUUUUGUACUUGGCACAGAAUUUACCAGUUAAGAAUUGUGGAAUAAAUAGACAUUGUUUUAAUCUUUAUAAGAACACUGCCACGUGGGGAUUCCCAUUUUAUACCUGCAUUAACUGAGUCUUAGAGAGGUUAAGUAAAUUGUCCAGUAAGUACCACAUAAUCCAAUAAAUGAACCAAGCUUGUUCCUACAUGGUUUUCUCUCUGGGUAUUCACAGGGUAGCAAAAUAUACGAGUAAUGCUGGCAGAGAAACUAGACAACGGGUCUCAAAUUUCAGUGUGCAUGCAGCUAAAGGCCAAGAAUCUGUACCUCUCACAAGCCCCAUACUUUGAGAGGCCCUGACCCAGCCUGUGCAAGUGCAGGAGAAGUGAAAGUUCUGCUCUGUUUGGAGGAGGAGGGGGAUGCUUGGUGUAGAUGGACCCAGAAGCACUAGAGUGAAUGGUUGUGAAUUCUGAGUGUUAAAGACCUCAGCCCUGGAGUGUGGGCAUUUGUAGAUAUAUACAAACAAGCUCCAAGGGCUAGAUCAAUGCCAGCAAGUCUUUUUUUCAGUGCCAAUGGCUUCUUUAUGAGGCAAUUCCUUUUCCCUCUAUUCCUGUGUUUCUUAAGUUUCCAUAGAUAGGGCUCUUUCUCUGCUUUUAAUAAAAUGAUAAACUAUAAGAGUCUUUCAAGCUCUUCUUGGAUGAGUCCUAGAAACCUCAUUGCCCCAUCUGGCCACAUUCCUCACUUCCUGCCUGGCUCCAUGAGGAAUUGGGGACAAGGUUGUGAGGGAAGGAAGACAGGGAAACAAAGAAGUUCUGGGCCACUUUUUAGGGAAAGGCUUAAUUGGCGGUUACCUCUGCUCAGGGACUUGGAGGUAGCAGCCCUUUUGGCAUAUUCAGGGGAGGGGAAUGAGGAAGAUGAAGAGACAACUCUGGACCCUGGGACUGCGCCACAGGACUUACUCAUCUCAGGAAGUUCUCCGGGCUCACCCUCAGUCUGUGCAGAUCAGGGAAGGAAUGGGGUAUCCGUAGUAGGGAUGAGAAGGGGGUGGGAGGGAUACUUGGAUAAGGGAGAUGGAGCCUGUGCUCCACCCUCAUCCCCUGGGCCUUGGGAUGGCACAUUCCAAAGCCUUAGCUAGGUUCCCUGUUCCCCUGCCCUCUAGUGUCACAAUGGAUGAGGCCUCUGCUGCAGAAAGGCAGAAGUGGCAGGCAGAGGCAGUGAGGGCUGGUGUCCCAUGGGGCAGGCAGAGAGGGAGCAGGAGGGAGCACACAGAAGGAGGAAGGGCAGAGGGCUGGCAUCAGGACUAGGUGCCAAGGUGCUGUGUUAUGAGAGGUGGGAGUGGACACCCUCCUGGAGGCAAUUUACAUAACACAUGGCUUGGCUGUCAAUUGCCUUGGGAGCUAAUAGAGUCAUUUGCACGCUAUCACCAGAUUGGCUGGAAGAAAUAGAAGGGCACUUGUCCCCUGGGGUGGUCUCUGCCAUCCUGUGUUGGCACUGGGCUGGACAGAUGUCAUUGCCUUCAUGUGGGAGAAGGCAGCACCUCUCUAGGUAGAGUCGCCAUCUUUGUGCGCUAGUCUCAGUGACUGGGGUCAGAGGGAGGGGUCUUAAUCAAUUCCCAAAUACCAGAGAAGGCAGGCCACUUGUGUUUAGUGUUAGAGUGGGAUACAGGCAAAAUUCUAUUAGGUGGGGCUAGUGUGUGGUGUCUUAUUUAUUAGAUAUUUGUAUUCAUUUUCCAUUGCUGGGUAACAGAUUAUCAGCAAGCUACCAGCUUAAAAUGACAUGUAUUUUAUCAUCUUACAGUUUCUGUAGGUCAGGAGUCCAGGCCCAGCCUAACUGGCUCCUUGCUCAGGAUCUCAAAAAGCUGAAAUCUAGGUGUUGGCACAUCUCUGUUUCUUUCUGGAGUGGGAUCUUCUUCCAGGCUCAUGUGGUUGUUGGCAGAAUUCAGUUCCUUGUGGUUGUAGGACUGGAGUCCCAUUCUCUUGCUGGCUGUCAUCCAGGGACCUCUCUUGGCUCCUAGAGGUGCUCAGUUUGUUGCCCUGUAGUGCUUUUAUAGGCUUGCUUGCCACAUGGCAGCUAAAUCCUUUAAGGUCACCAGGAAACUCUCUCCUGCCUCAGGAAAGGCCUGUCCCUCUUUCAAGGGCUUUCACUGGUUAAAUCAGGCCCACACAGGAUAACCUUCCAUUUAAUUAACUCAAAAUGAACUGACUUGAAAUCUUAAUUACCUCACUCCAUCAUCUUCAUGAAUCCCACCCACACUGAGGGAAGGGAAUCAUACAGAGCAUGUGCACAAGGAGGCAGGAAUCUUGGAGCAACCUUAGAAUUCUCCCUAUCACAAUAUUUUAGUGAAUGAGAGAGAGAGAGAGGUGAGAGUUAGAGAUGGAUAGACAGACAGACAGACAGAUAGAGGGAGGGAAGGAGAAGAGAGAGAGAGUGAUAGAUACAGAGAGGAGGAAAGAGAGAGGAGGAGGAGAGAGAGGGAAGGAGUGAGGGAGAGAGGGAGGAAGAGAGAGAGAGAGGGAGAGAAAGAGGGAGAGAGAAAGAAAUUGGAUAUUUAACGAUAGGAAGGAGUGAUGGGUAUAGAACAAAAGAGUUGCAGGGCACACCUGCAAUUCUGUUCUGCUCUGCCCUCCCCUUUCUUGCUUAUAAUGAAAACAGUUGAUAAUUCAGAAUUUUGAUUAUAAACAGUGACUGUCACAUGGAUAGGAACCAAAAGAGCAUUUGCUGUACAUGCUCAUUUCUUACAGGGAAUUGGUGGGAACCGGCUCAACCAAUGACUAUUGCUGUUGGCCAUCUGCUGAGACACACAAAUAGCUUAUAGAAUCAGAGGAUUACAGACUGCUGGAGCCAGAGGGGGCUUUAGGGAUCUUGUAAUCCAACACAAACAUUGCACAGAUGACAGAACCGAGGCCCAGAGAGGAGAUGUGAGUUGUGUGAGGUCACACAGCGAGUUGAUAGCAAGGUUUAUUGGGAACCAACCAAUGAUCACUCAUUCAGCCAGCGGAUUCUGUGUGAGGACUGGAAGGGGACAGAUGUGUCCUAGGGCAUCUCAUGCACUUUUCACUAUAGCAGUUUGCCUCAUCACACAGUCCCUGAUCUUCUAAUGGGACUGGCUUCAUAGAAUUCUUAAUGUGUAAAAUAUUAAAUAGCAGUUUUGUCUUCCUUGUCCCACUUGGCCAUGGGGAGUAGACAGAGGGCCUGCAGCCUGAGCACAGAUGGGGUGACAGCAGGAGGAGGGGGCUCUGCAGCUUGCAGAAUGGCAGUGUUUGUGUGCACAUGUGUAUGUGUAUGUGUGUGUGUGUAUCCAACUGAGAUUAAACCCUGAAAGCAGGACUCACCCCUACAUCAUCCUCCCCCAUGCACUCACAUCCUGCCUGUGACUGUGUCACCUCCAUCCCUCCAGAAGCCUUUAUCAGUAUCACAGAUGCUGAUUCACAAGAUGCAGGUUGCCAAGAAAGGUGAUUAAUGAUGGCAGCUGUGGUCCCUCUCACUCUCCCAGCCUCCCUGACCUUGUUUUUUUCCCUCCUCUUUCCAGUUUCCCCCUGUCACCACCAUCCUCUAAGGAAAUAGAUAAACAUUCCAGGCAUGAGAGGGGAAAGGAGGGGAAUUGGGUCCUUCUGGAGUAGCUGCUAUGGGUCAGGCACUGUGCCAGGCUCUUUCAUUUGUUCGCAUUUAACAAUGUAAAUAGAGAGAUGCUGCAGGGUGUCCUGGGAUGCAGGGGAGGGCUGUGUUCUUUCCAUGUCCCCAUAGAGGGCAGUGCCAAGCUGAUUUCCUGCAGACACAAUUGCCAUCCUUUGGCACAUAUGUUGUUCAUGUUGGUUCUGAUGUGCAUGUUGUCAGUGUGCCAGGCUCCAGAGGACAAACCCAUGUAACCCUGGAGCCUUCAAUGUUGAGGCUGUCAGGGACCUUAGCAAUCAUUCACUUUUCUAGAAAGGGUGAGAUGGGGGCCCAGAGGAAAAACAGCUUAGUCAAGGUCACACAAAGCUGGCCUCUCCUGACUCCUGUUCUAGAGUUUGUUUUCCUACUCAGCUUCUGUUUCUCCUGCUGUACUUUUGUUCUUGGGAGCAGGGCCACAGUCAUGGAGAGGUUCAGAGUUGCAGGGUAAAGGGUAAAGAGGGGUAAAGGUCUUUAAUGAAGGAGAUUUAUGGCAUGAGCUUGGCCUCUUCCAAUAUCCACCUCUGAGCUUCACCCAACUCCCUCCUUGAGUUAUGGGCCUUGUCAUAAUGACUAGAACAGGUUCCCAGCCUACGGAUGGGGCCUGGGAUGUGACAGAGCCUCUUACACUGAGGCAGCCUCCAUACAGUGGACUGUUUCCUUAGUUCUUUUGAUUGUGCCCAGGUGUGUGUGUGGAGGGGGUGGGAUCAGGAAGGGCUGUGGAAUGUGCAUUAAUUGUGUACAUAUUGUACUAAUAUGCACGUAGAACUCCAAGCCCAAUUUCUGAUUUGUGGGAUAAGACAGUGGGAUACUCACUUUCCCUUUUUUUGGUGGGAUCCAAGGAGUCAUGUAAAUGGGUGACUGAAUCCAACUCAGGAAGGCCAAGGAAUGCUUGAUUCCUGCCUCUGUUGGCUUCCUUGGGUCAGGCUGGGAGGUUUGGGGAGAGGGCUGGGCCCAGCCCCCAUCUUCCUGCCCUCUGCAACUUUGUUCUUCAGUGAACUUGGCCAAGUGAUGGAGAGACAGGACUGGAAAUUCAGGUCUGGUAGAUCUGAGAACAUGAGCUAAUGUCCAUGGCCCCAUUUUCUUGAGGAGUGCUUCUUUGGAUGGUAGAGUCAAGCAGUGUUUUCCCCCUUUGUACAAUAGAAGCUCAGGAAAUUCAGCACCUUGGACAAGGUUCAUGACAGGCCUCUGAAGGCAGGAAUGCCCUUCACACCCUUUGGUGCCCCCACAAGGCCUGUGGGUCUAGUGGCCAUGGGUACCAAUGCUCAGAGUUCCUAGUAGAUUCAGACCUGGGCCCCGAGGAUACUGGGUGGACUGGACUUUCAGGGCUGGACUCUCAGAAGGCUUGACUGCCUAGUACUCGUCAGCAAAUGCGAGGGAGUCCUGGGUUGGUCUGCUCCUUCAGUCGGGGGACUCACAGACAUGUUGUCAGGACUGCAGGUGCUGGAAGUGGGAUUGGGGAGGUCAUAUUAUGCCUGUUUGAUGCCCCAACUAUAAACUUCUUCAGGACAGGAACAGAAAAGUUCUUAUUCACUGCUUCGCCCCUAACACCUAACAGAGUGCCUGGCAGGUGGUAGAUACUCGUCAAUGAUUAAUUGUUGACUGAAUUGAGAAAAGAGGCCACGGAGAGUGAAAUUUGGGUUGAGAGCUUGAUAGAAACAAAAACAGGACCCUGGAUGGACCUCUGUUGGGAACUAUCUUCCCUGCCCUGAUUAAUUUUCUACUGCCCUCACCAGGAACCUCUCUCCCCAACUGUGCAGGUCUCCCCAGUGCACCCUGCUUCCCCAUCAUGUGUGUCUCUUCCCCUUGACAUCUGUCCACCUCUGAUCGAUCCUUCAAGGCUUCUCCCAAGGCUACCACCCACCCCUCCUUGACCCUUUCCUCACACUGCAGUGAGCUCUUUCCUAAACUCCUGGGUCACUGACUCUCUGGACCCCUUAGCAUUAACAAGGAGUUCAUAUGUUAUGUGAGUGUGUCUCAGUUCCAUUUUGGCAUGCCACAGCUUAAGCAAUCUUUUUUUUAAAAUGUAAUAAUAUAUUUUAUGUAACUCAGUAUCAUUUCAAUGUGUCCAAUAUUAAAAAAUUAUUGAGAUAUUUUACAUUUUUCUUUUCACUAUCCAUGGUGGGUUUUAUACCUUGAGCACAUCUCAUUUCACACUGUUUGCAUUUCCAGUGCUCAGUAGCCCCAGGUAGGGUGGACAGCACCUUUGAACAGCUUUGGUGCUGAGAACAGGCCAUCCGAGUACAUGUGGCAUAAGUGCCACCCCAGGCCUCUUUGUUGGGUGUCAAAGGGCUAAAAAGUCCAUGGAAGCCUGAGUCUUGGGUUCAUAUUCAAUCUCUUCUGUUCUUCACUCUGUAACUAGCUGGGACUGGUCCUCUGUGUUUCUAUCACCUGCUCCUGUAAAAGGGGGGGGGGAUCAUUUCUGCUUCCUCUCUAUAGCACCAGAAGGCUCUAACCUGCUUUCUCAGGUUUCCCACAAAUAGAGGGUGUUAUAUUUCCUUUCGCAUAAAAGAUUUCAGUCUAUAUGGCCCUACAUUCUAUUUUACAUCACCUUUCCCUCCUCUCACACCCCUACCCCCAAGCUGUCCUUGAAUAUUGAGAAGCUCUGACUCUAAUGGAAUUGUCCAUCUACUGCUGGAAUAGGUGCCUUGAGUGG